UCCGGCUUGACACCGGCAGUCUCCUUAGAGUUCCCGGCAUGACCCGCUGGUAACUAAGGACAAGGGUUUCGCUCGUUAAGGGACUUAACCCGACAUCUCACAACACGAGCUGACGACAGCCAUGCAGCACCUGUGGUCGUUCCACGGCAAGCCGCGUCACCUCCCUUUCAGGAGGCUAAUCCGACCAUGUCAAACCUAGGAUAAGGUUCUUCGCGUAGCCUCGAAUUAAGCCACAUGCUCCACCGCUGGUGUGAGCCCCCGUCAAUUCCUUUGAGUUUCAGCCUUGCGGCCAUACUCCCCAGGCGGGGUACUAAACACUUUCGCUUCGGCAGGAGGCGGCAUCGGACCGCUUCCUACCCAGUACCCAUCGUUUACGGCUAGGACUA
rnacentral:misc_RNA from 1 species